UGCAGAGCCAAGAUGGAUGCCAAGCAC
rnacentral:piRNA from 1 species